GGUUCCGUAGCUCAGCUGGAUAGAGCAACGCCCUUCUAAGGCGUGGGUCGAGCGUUCGAAUCGCUCCGGAAUCACAA
rnacentral:tRNA from 1 species